rnacentral:rRNA from 1 species
AGGUCUUCGGACCUAGUGGCGCACGGGUGAGUAACAUGUGGGAAUCUACCUGAAGGUUCGGAAUAACUGCGGGAAACUGUAGCUAAUACCGGAUGUGUCUGCAAAGAGAAAGAUUUAUCGCCUUCAGAUGAGCCCGCACUAGAUUAGCUAGUUGGUGAGGUAAUUGCUCCACCAAGGCUACGAUCUAUAGCUGAUUUGAGAGGAUGAUCAGCCACACUGGGACUGAGACACGGCCCAGACUCCUACGGGAGGCAGCAGUAGGGAAUAUUGGACAAUGGGGGAAACCCUGAUCCAGCAAUGCCGCGUGAGUAAAGAAGGCCUUCGGGUUGUAAAACUCUUUCAUCAAUGAUGAUAAUGACAUUAGUUGAAGAAGAAGCUCCGGCUAACUUCGUGCCAGCAGCCGCGGUAAUACGAAGGGGGCUAGCGUUGUUCGGAAUCACUGGGCGUAAAGCGUAUGUAGGCGGAUCAAAAAGUUAGAUGUGAAAUCCCUGGGCUCAACCCAGGAACUGCAUUUAAAACUAGUGAUCUAGAAUUUGGUAGGGGUUAGUAGAAUUUCCAGUGUAGAGGUGAAAUUCGUAGAUAUUGGAAAGAAUACCAGUGGCGAAGGCGACUAACUGGCCCAUUUUUGACGCUGAGAUACGAAAGCGUGGGUAGCAAACAGGAUUAGAUACCCUGGUAGUCCACGCAGUAAACGAUGAGUGCUAGUCGCUGGGACAAUAGUUUCAGUGUCGAAGCUAACGCAUUAAGCACUCCGCCUGGGAAGUACGGUCGCAAGAUUAAAACUCAAAUAAAUUGACGGGGGCCCGCACAAG